UACAGAGGUCCCAAGCGUUGUUCGGAUUCACUGGGCGUAAAGGGUGCGUAGGUGGCUUGGUAAGUUUGAUGUGAAAUCUCCGAGCUUAACUCGGAAAUGGCAUUGGAUACUAUUCGGCUAGAGGGUUUGAGGGGGGACUGGAAUACUUGGUGUAGCAGUAAAAUGCGUAGAUAUCAAGUGGAACACCAGUGGCGAAGGCGAGUCCCUGGAAAACUCCUGACACUGAGGCACGAAAGCUAGGGGAGCAAACAGG
rnacentral:rRNA from 1 species